rnacentral:rRNA from 1 species
GACGAACGCUGGCGGCGUGCUUAACACAUGCAAGUCGAACGGAAAGGCCCUGCUUUUGUGGGGUGCUCGAGUGGCGAACGGGUGAGUAACACGUGAGUAACCUGCCCUUGACUUUGGGAUAACUUCAGGAAACUGGGGCUAAUACCGGAUAGGAGCUCCUGCUGCAUGGUGGGGGUUGGAAAGUUUCGGCGGUUGGGGAUGGACUCGCGGCUUAUCAGCUUGUUGGUGGGGUAGUGGCUUACCAAGGCUUUGACGGGUAGCCGGCCUGAGAGGGUGACCGGCCACAUUGGGACUGAGAUGCGGCCCAGACUCCUACGGGAGGCAGAAGUGGGGAAUAUUGCACAAUGGGCGGAAGCCUGAUGCAGCAACGCCGCGUGCGGGAUGACGGCCUUCAGGUUGUAAACCGCUUUCGCCUGUGACGAAGCGUGAGUGACGGUAAUGGGUAAAGAAGCACCGGCUAACUACGUG